AACUUGAGUGACAAGUAAUCGGCUGGAAUCUCAGCUCGCUAUUUACUGGCUCUUCCUGGGCAAAUCGCUUAACCUCUUGAGCCUGAGUCACUUUUGAAAAGGAACACAUCGAAGGUCUCCACCCAGAAGGAUGUGGAACAUCUCAGGAGGAGGCGAGGAGUUCAACAACCUGCCGUGGCCCCGUUUCCGUGCGCCGCCAUUUCAAGUAGAACGUUUUCGUGUCCUAAUGCAGGGAAAUUCAGGAAGGGCUCUGUCAUCUGGACUCUCCCUGGAGCUCUCACCCAACAAGAGGGACGUAGACAUUAACAACCGUCAGCUGAACACCAAGUGCAUCAGUUCCCGUUGGCACAGCAUACCCCUGUUCCUGAUCAUGGAAAUCCACCCGGGCUAAUGUGUGGGCCCGAAAGUCGAUAUGCAUUACUGCCCUGGCUCUCACAGUUCCAGAAUCAACCUGAUUCUCUUGUUUCUUAUGCCAAAAGCAAUGCUGGGAGGCUUCUGGUGAAAGAAAGGUAUGUUGGUUAUUUUUAUGUGAUGACUUUCCCAGGAUAUAGCACUCAGAUAUAUUGUCAAAUAGAGUAUACAUGUUUUCAUUUUAAAAUGUAAUUUUUGAGUCUUCCCCCACCCCUGAGGUAUAAUAGAAAAGUUAUUUUAAUUUUGGCAUAUGUGUUAUAUGCAAAGGCCCUGGUUAUUUACUUAUUACUUACGUGCAUAUAUAUAUAUAUAUAUAUAUAUAUAUAUAUGUGUGUGUGUGUGUGUGUGUGUGUGUGUGUGUGUGUGUGUGUGUGUGCACAUGCAUGUUGCAAUUCUCAUGUGGAUGUCAGAGGACAACUGGAGGAGUCCUUUUCUUUCCUCCCAUUAGGGUCCUGGGGGUCAAACUCAGGCCGUCAGGCAUGCUGGAAAAUGUUUUAGUCACUCAACUAUCUUACCAGCCUGCUGCUGCUUUUCUGAGAUGGGAUCCCUUUCUGAAUCUGGAACUUGGCAUUUUGACUGGAUUGCUGGGCCAUUAAGCGCCCUAACUUGCGUCUGCCUGCCUCCUCUCUGCAUCACCAGGGUUACAGACACAGGCCCCGCCCUGUGUUUACACAGAGCUAGGGAUCUGAAUUCAAACCUUCAUCCUCAUUGGGCAGGCAUGUUACCUAUUGAGCAUCGCCUAUAAAACCUUUUUAUUGUGUAUGCAAAACAAAAAGUGGUCCGUGCCUGGAGGUUGUAGGAAAUCCACGCAGAUCAGCAGGGAUGAGAGACCCAGUCCGUAGAGGUCGGAAAAAGGAGGUCUGUCCUCAGACAAAGUCCUCAGGUGUUCCCCACGCAGGGAUACAUCCUGAGAUGUUUCUGACCACGCCCCUGGGCCUUUAGCCCACUGCUGUCUAGGAUAAAAGGGAGAAAGCACGAGAAAGUUCAGGUUACCACGCUGCUGGUCCAAGCAGCUCCUGGUGCAGGAGGCAGCCAGAUUGAGCCAUGACGCCAUGUUGAAAUCAAGUCCUGGCACGGGUCACAGCUCUCAGGACCUCCUCAUGGACACACACCUCUUUGAGACACUGUUUGCUAGGUUCGUGGAUGCAGUGGAGUGGCUCCCUGGGCUCUGCUGCUUCUUAGAUCUGGGGUGAAGGUUCAGAUGACUUCCUGUGGACCUUGGUGCUGGGACGGGGAACUGCUCCUCCAAGGUGAGGCCCCGCCUCCUGAUAAUCACAGUACCACCCCACUCACCCCUCCCCCACUAUCCUUCUGGUCACUGGUUGUACUGGAUAUGGUAUGGAACUGAAGCAUCAGAGCAGCGCGAAGGCAGGGAGAGACAGGCAGCUCUCGCGGCCAUAGAGUGAGGAGGCUGCCGCGGUUCUAUUACGGGUCGGAGAUGUCAGCGUCCCUCCACCCUGCUCCGCAUAGAGAAUGUGGGGCCAGCAGAUCUAACUGCUGAAUCCAUUGAUUUAUCUCAGCCUGGCCAGCUGCUGCCUCCAUCCCAGAGCCUCUAGGUCAAAGUACCUUUUGAAGACGACUUAACAUCUAAAACGUAUACCCAGAGCGAGCAGCUUACUCUCCGUGGUGCAAGUGGGCCUCACUGAAUCUGUGAAGGACUUAAUACAAAAAAACUGACUUCCAAAGAAGGAAGGCCCCGCCAAUAGACUGCUUUUGAACUGGGACCGGGUCAUCAGGUCUGCCCUGGAAGAUUUUAGCACUGCCAGUCUCUGUCACAAUUGCAGAAACGAUACUUUAAAUCUCCUCCCACCCCGUUCUCACACACAAAGGCAUACAUGACUACAAACACAUGUGCACAUCCAUUCACACAUACAAGCCCACGCUCUACUAGCUCUACUUCUAUUGAGAACUCUGGGGGCAGCGGGGAGGGGUGCCAUUUGGAAGUGGUGGCCAUGUGUGAGGAAGUAAAAAAAAAAAUGGUUCUAGAAAGUGAGUAUGGCUUUUUUUUUUUUUUUUUUUUUUUUGGUUCUUUUUUUUCGGAGCUGGGGACCGAACCCAGGGCCUUGUGCUUCCUAGGUAAGCGCUCUACCACUGAGCUAAAUCCCCAGCCCCAUAAGUAUGGCUUUUAAGCGGCUACUCUUUCUCUAUGAGGCUCUUUCUCUAUGAGGCGGGCACCAUCCAGACAUCAGACCAGCUCCAGGAGCCUCUGGCUGAGUCAAUACCCAGGCCUAAUCCCUUAUCUAUGGCAGUCAGCAUACAGUAAGACGGGGAUCUGGGUAUCUCUAAAAAAAAAAAAUCCCAGACAUCUCUCAACUUAUUUGGUUUUGUUUCGUGAAGUUUAUUGAAGUCAGCUUCUGGGUCACUCCCCUAAAAGGUAAAUAAAUCUGUUUGCAAUUAGGGACAGAAGGCACAGGCAAGUGUGUGUGUGUGUGUGUGUGUGUGUGUGUGUGUGUGUGUGUGAGAGAGAGAGAGAGAGAGAGAGAGAGAGAGAGAGAGAGAG